rnacentral:rRNA from 1 species
AUUGAACGCUGGCGGCAUGCUUUACACAUGCAAGUCGAACGGCAGCGCGGGCUUCGGCCUGGCGGCGAGUGGCGAACGGGUGAGUAAUGCAUCGGAACGUGCCCAGUAGUGGGGGAUAGCCCGGCGAAAGCCGGAUUAAUACCGCAUACGACCUGAGGGUGAAAGCGGGGGACCGAAAGGCCUCGCGCUAUUGGAGCGGCCGAUGUCGGAUUAGCUAGUUGGUGGGGUAAAGGCUUACCAAGGCGACGAUCCGUAGCUGGUCUGAGGGGACGACCAGCCACACUGGGACUGAGACACGGCCCAGACGCCUACGGGAGGCAGCAGUGGGGAAUUUUGGACAAUGGGGGCAACCCUGAUCCAGCCAUGCCGCGUGCGGGAAGAAGGCCUUCGGGUUGUAAACCGCUUUUGUUCGGGAAGAAAUCCUCUGGGCUAAUACCCCGGGGGGAUGACGGUACCGGAAGAAUAAGCACCGGCUAACUACGUG